AACGAUCUAUAAUUUAGUACGGAGGGAAUAGAACAGUAGAAGAUGCAUUCUAUCAAGUAGAAUCAUAGAACAAAGACCUUUAAUCAUGAUCCUGAAGUUGUAAAAUCGGAGCUUAUAGAGUCAUGAUUUCGACUAACUAUGGAACCAACACAAGAUAGGAGAACACCUAUUGUCUUUUUGAUCUCUUGUCCUCUUAAAUAUAAAUAUAAUUAGUAGGAGGCAACCCUCCUAUUUCUAAAAAAAAACCUCGAUAGGUCUUUUUUGUUGGGAGUGGGAAUGCCAAGAGGCGAAAGAAGCACAUCAUUGCACAUGGCAGAUGGCACUGGUUGAUCUCACGCGUAGCAUGGGUUGGAAGUAUGGCAGCAGAGAUUGAGAGCGAUGCAACGCUAGAACGGGUAACAAACAAAUAUUGCGCCGGUGCCAACCAAAUAGUCGACGGUGUGGGACUUGGGAGGUCACCUGUCAGCAGUGCGAAACAAAUAGACAUGGGGUCGAGCGAGGGACAGAGCCAUGGCGUUAUGUUAAAAUUAAAGCUUCCAAAACAGGCGGGAGUGGUUAUGGACCACGGUGCUCGAGCCUCUGCUAAUGUUUGGGAUUUGGGCAUCGCCAAGUAAGAGUCGGUGUCGCCAUUCUGUUCCUAUCCCUGAGAAUGGUGCUCCGUUUUAAUGUGAAUAGGGGACGCAGAAAAUUGGGGACCAUAUAGACUCGAUCGAUAUGGAGUAUGGGUAAUGGCCUGGUUAACUGCAGUUUUCUAGAUAUACUGUAAAAAACGUGCAAAACAGCCAAAGGGAUGUACGUCCUUCGACUGACCAAGAAACAGGGGAACUGGGGAAGCCAAAAAAAAAGCAGCUGCCCUCGUUCCUUUCGGCCAGAAAUCAAGCAGAUGUAGGCCUGGUCUACAAUCUUGCCGGCCUGGUUUCAUAAAAAAAAAAUCUUGCCGGCCUGGUUUAGACUCUAGAGCCUCUUGGAAAAGUUCUGGUGCGCGGGAAAAGGUAGGGAGGAAAAGGCAGAGGAGAUUAGUGAGACUGUGAGAGCCUGAGAGGGGAAAGCAGCUUACACGCGUGCACAAUUAUAUUUGGUUGAGCAAUAGUUCUCCAUUUUUAUCAGCUACCAACACUUUUCGAAGCUGCUUUUCCAUGCUGCUAGCACUGGGUGUUACAUACUUAACACUAUGCUCCCUUGAACAAUGGAUUAGUACAUCCUCCCAGUUGGCUUUGAUCGAAGGUUUGAGAUACCACUGGCAUCCGUCAAGUGCUCUCUCUCUUAAUAGCGCACCCUUGCACGGCCUUCUCGGAGGCCAAGUGCAGGACGGGGUUUCGAAGCCCCGCCGGUGAGCCUCCACCCUUGGAGAGCUACCACCGGGCUACAAGCCCAGCUGCUCUCUCUCAUAUAUUGACCGGCCACCUGCAGCAACAAGGUCGUCACGAGAGCCACGCACACGGAUAGGUCUUCAUCCGGUGCUGGUACCGCCGCGAGACUCCGCUGAAAGCAUCCAAACCGGCCAGCCGGGAGCGUCCAUGCGGUGGACCACGGCGAGCCCUCCCUCCCUCCCUUCCCAUACGCGCAAAUGUUUGGGCGCUGACGCGCUGGCUCGCGUCCAACCCGCUGCAUGCAGCGCCGAUGGUCCACUGGUCGCUCACUCACUCUGUCCUCUCUGCCCUGGCUCAGCCGGCAGUGUCCCUGUCUCCAUCCUGUUCCUGCUGGUUCGCUGAACGAAUUCGGCCAGGCUUUGGUCGGCGGAUCAUGCUAACACUUCAGGGAAAAUGGCCAUUUAGCAUGCUGUGGGUAACUGCAGUUUCUAGGCAUUGAUAGGAACAAAACACCCAGAAUUAAGGGCUCCAGGACCGAACGGAACUGGGGUAAAGGUGGUCUUGUCCGUCCACCGGCUGACCCAGGAACAGGGGAAGCCGAAAGGCAGCUGUGUCUGUGCCGACUCCUUUUGGGCUCACUACUGUAUUGGUGUAGGGCCAUGGCCCGGAAGCAAUCAUCUUGCAGUCGCGGAGGCAGGUCUGGACUCUUGGAUUUUUUUAGUUUUAACCCCUUUUAAUCUAAAAUUUUAUAACUAACCCCUCCCAAUCUAUACUAAAAUGUAACACAAAAUUGAUUUCCACGUGGCGCGUACGUGUCCAAGUGAGGCGGCGCUAGCCAUGCCGUGCAUUCCAGCGUGACAAGCAACAGCGAGGUUGCUGGCUUGUUCAAGUGCACAAAAUUUCAAUUUAUUUAGCCUUAUUCGGUUCUCUGUUUUAACUAGCCAAUGACCUUUUAAAUUCUUUAAACUUGGCAAGUAUAAUAUAUAGUGUACAUGUUCCAUUUUACGUGUUUUCACUCUAAAACAUGGUGUAGAAAAUGAAAAAUCUAAUUUCAAAAUAGGUUAAGUGUUAUUGAACAGAUGAACUCCAGUUCUAACUAAAAUUGAGGGGUCUUAGGAAGGAGUUUACUGAUACUAAAGAUUUUAAUCGUGAGCUUACUUCGUGAAACAAAAGAAGACAAGAAAUAAGAUUGGCACAUAUCCUCUGAUUAAACUGUGUUGGUUGUUGUCAUCCAUAUACAAUAUGGAGCUAGUGUAGAUAUAAUAUGGGUGGAACAUAGGAGUUAUUGGUGGCUUUAUUUUGCGGAGACUCCGUGACGAUAGCGUCAUCGUCAUGUCAUAGUAAAUUGUUGCUAUGAUAUUAUUUCGAGUUAAUGUUUUUAUAGCUGGUGAUCGAGAGAGCUACUGAUUCAGAUAAACUAACACAUGUAAUUAUGAAGAUUUCCAGAAGGGGUCUUAAUAUCUUAGUGCUCACGCAAGAAUUUAACCUACAUCUUCCAUAAACAAUGGAGGUGGGACCUGCAUGUCAUUGUGACGGGUACCUGAGCCACGGGUACCCCUAGGGGAGCGACUCCCGAGGGCCUGCUCUCCGACCUCAGGGAUGGAUGGGACACGUGGCACCCCUCCGACCUCCCUCGGUGGACCUCCCUCUGACGCCUCACCCAAAGGACCGAUCCCACACGGCCUCGAGGAGGGGAGCCAUCAUGACCGGUAUGACGCGCUAUGAGCAUGACCCUGCGCACCUACCCACCGACGCGUCCGCGUCAAGGGUUGGGCGGUACAGUCUCGCCCACCCCAACACCAAACCACGUCUAGGAAGCGGGCCACAAGGGGUCCUGGUACGUGCACCGGCUAGAGAAUGCUACCUGACCUCUUGGCGGGAGGUCGGGAAGGGCAGCCCCAACCGCAUGGCGGCCGCCAUUGACCGAGCGGUAGCAUGCCAACUCUCAUGCGUGAAGGGGCGCAUGUCGCAUGCCCUUUCCACCACGACAGGGGUUGAUGGAUGGGCAGCCGCCACGGACACACACACACAACACAAUACAAGCUUAGGAGCACCCCGUUGUAAGCCUCUCACGCACUCGAGCUCAAGGAAUCCAAUCUGCUACCUAGCUACCUAAACUGUAGCCGUCACCUUAGAAAGAUAGCGAGAGCUUGGACGAUGUUUGCUUGACAAAUGCGUAUGUGCAGCAUGCGUCUAGACAUGGAGUUGGUUAACGGGCCGGCUCAGCUCAACUCAAUGCGGCUUGUUGUGUAAACGAGCUAGCUCCAUUCGGCUCGUUAACAAAAUGAGGAAAAAAAGCUAGUUUUGGCUUGGCUCGGUCAAGCUCGGCCACAUAAAUUAUGUUUCCCAGUACGAACCAACAACAACCAUUCAAAUACAUGUAUGAUUCACACUAAUGAAUCAAAAUUCAGAAAGAUUAUUCAUACCAACUUAAUCCACUUUAACUCUUAAUUACGAUUUACAAGUAAUAAAUAUGAUUUCCUUCCAAGUUAAGAACACAAAAUAAUCCCCCAAAAAGAUAAAAGAAAAAACCAAACAAACACCGUGAGAUGUCUACAAAUGACGUGUAUUAGGGCCUUGGAGCAUGGACAGAUAACUGAGUCAAAGUUUCCGUCGCUUGGUUUUGAUCUCUAUAGGUACAACUAAUAACACUUAGCCUAUUUAGAAAUUGGAUUUCCAAAUUUCCACACCAUAUUUUGGAGUGCAAACACUGAAAAUGGAACGUAUGCACUCUAUAGAAUAUACUUGUCGAGUUUAGCGAUUAUAUACUUGUCGAGUUUAGCGAUUUUAAAAAGUUAUUAGCUAAUUAAAAUGAGGGAACGAAAUAGGCAAAGUGAUAUGUAUUUUUAUGCACUUAAGAGUACAGGCAGGCAGCUAGCAGCUCAAAGAGCUGGUCACGGCAUCUUGUAUAGCGUGACUGCCAAAAUGGUUUGGCGUCACUAGCUCGCCACGUCAGCUCCACAUUAUACUCGAUUUUUGUUUAUGCUAUCAUGGUAUAUUGGUCACACCAUUGCAUGCAAUGUGAUUCAAUUAUUAGUCGCGCCAUAGAGUUUGGCUUGGAAAUAUAGAUUGGGAGGAGUUAUUGAUAAAAUUUUGGAUUAAAAAGGUUAAAAUAAAAAAAUCCUCGGGCCGGAGCCUCCAAAAAGUGGUGAUGGGAGCAAACAAAAGGUUCCCGGAGGGAAAAGCAGUGCCUGAGGAGUGGCGGCGAUGAACAAGAACAGUGUUCAUUUGAUAAGAGUUGUGAGUAGAUAAAUCACGUAAUAAACUUAUCAUAAAGAAAGAGGGAAGAAGCUCGUCGCUGCUUUUCUCACGGUGCUCAGCCGGUAAUCAGUAUACGUCAACCUUUUUGACAAAAGGGACGUGCAUGUCUCUAAAGGCUAAAGCUUAGGUACGUUAACCCUCUAGGGGAGAAAAAAAGACCGUCUUUGAGCACCACAUUGUAGUACCCCAGUAGUACUUGCUUGUAAAAAGUGAUCAUGUCAUGUCCGUGCAGUUAGAAGCUUUAUGCCUGUGAGAAACACGGCAGUUCUACAAUGAUCGGAGGCAGGGUGCUUCCUGCCCUUGUGGGGAGACAGGGCAGCCUCGGCAUCAAGGAGCAGCUUUCUGCCCGGCGUGUGGUACAACACGGAAGAGUCCCUACUGAUUAGGUCUCUGACCGUGCAUGGUUUUACUGGGAUCCUUCUAUUUGCAGGGAGUCCAUAGGAUUACCAUGCAUGCUGCUUGAUAAACAACAAGAUGCUUAGAUGCAUAUACAUGCACGUGCUGCUAUACUGUUGCUGUAGUUUGCGAGUUAAUAUUGUGGUCGCCACGUGUUCGUAUUCAUGGCCGUAGUGAUGAAGUACCUACUUUUGUUCCCACCCCAAUCAUCUCCAGCUAACACUGCCUUAAAUCGAUCCAUCACAGUAGUUGGAGUGUUCAUUAGUGCAAAGCAUGUGGCCUGAGCUUUUUUUAGGGCAUAAAAGUUCUCCACCCAACGCCUUAACUGUUUUGAGCCACACGUCGUGGCACUACAGUGUUAGAAAUUUAGGCAUAUUUUAAUUUCAAAAUUAAACAUGUAAAAUAUUAUCAUGAUAAUAUAUUGAGUGACUCGAUAACAGAAUAAUAUGUACCAGUGUUCAAGUUUAAUCUGCAAAUAAGAACAAACAUAACCAAAGGAGAUUCAGGAUGUAAGCUGGGGUGGGGCCAGUAACGGAGGCACCGGAUUGCGCCGUUACCAUCUGAAUUAGUCAUACUAAUCGUGGAAUGGCCUCAGUCGAUGUAGUCGUACAAAUUCGAUGCCGUGAAGAGUCGAUGCAGUGUAGUCCCACGAACGGUCUUCGGAAAGUAGUCGAAAUAGUCGAACGGCCUUGAAAGGAAUACCUGUUGGUGUAUCUCUAGGAGGAGGAGGAGGGACAUCUUAUAUAGGCGAGCAGGUGAACAGGGGGAUGAACCUGGACGCCUAGCAGUCAGCACAGCACAUCAAUGGCAAUCAAUCCGUCGCAUUGCUCAUCUCGUCUCGACACGACUCGCCCACGCCCACGCCGCCAGCCCACGCCCGACCUGGCGAACGAGCACGCGCGCGUGUUGCAUGCCAAUCUCUUUUAUCAACUUCACAAACGGUGUACAAAGAGUUCAUCUUUUAAGUCGAUUGAGAGCCUCCUGAAAUACCCAUGUGGGACUAAACACAUAGCUCUCUAGCAUUUAUUAGUGAGCUUUUAAUUCUUUUAGUUGAAAUAAAUAAAUGGGCCAAGCCCAUAUAUUCCAACAAUCCCCACCAAGAAUUUCAAGCCACACUAGAAAUGCUCUUAGAUCUAGUGUAAUCUUUGAUAUACCAGUAUUUGAAGGAGACUGUUAAGUUGAACUUCCAUCUAGAGCUAAUGCUACACUUAUUCACAACUGUUCAAUGGACUAUGCCUUGAAUUGACAGUCUUGUGCAAACAAGUUUGACCAAAACCCUUCACUGAUAUUAGGCUGCGAAAGCAUCCCCGCGGUUUGGAGCUUAUAAAUUAUACUCCAGGCCUUUCAUGAGUUUCUAGAGAUCACCCACAUCUCAUAGACUAUGACCAGUAGUCAGACUCAUAUAGGUGUAUUCCUAAAAAGAUGUUCUGUAGGACAACAUCUUUGCUUCAAAGAAACAACUCCCUUGUUUCAAAUAGGCCACUUGGAACACAUUAAGGUAUAAACCAACCUACCAUACAAGAUUGAAGAGAAAUGCACCUUUCACUGGAAUGAGCCUAUUCAAAGGUUCUCUUCUCUCAGUCAAAAUUUCACCAUUCUACUUCACGGGAUAUCCGAUCACAUAGAAUAGGUUACCACUAUAGAAUAACUCACGUGGGUCUCAAGCCCAAUUCCAUAGAUGCAUUGUCUAUCAUAUUUCGUGAAAGACCCUUUGUGAAUUGAUCUGCCAGAUUGUUAGCAGUUUGAACAUAGUCCAAAGCUAUAACUCCGGAGUUUCUCAAUUUUCUGACAGAUUUCAACCGCCUCUUGACAUGCCUUGAUAACUUCAUGUUAUCCUUUGAACUGUUCACCUUGACGAUCACAGUUUGAUUGUCACAGUUGAUUAGAAUUGCCAGUAUCAGUUUUUCAACUAUCGGCAAGACCAUUAGGAAUUCACAAAGCCACUUAGCCUCAACAGAGUUCUGCUUCUAUUGUUGACCUCGUUAAGAUGGUUUGCUUGCAAGACUUCUAGGAAAUAGCGCCACCUCCAAGUGUGAAUACAUAUCCACUUAUGGCUUUUAUCUCAUCAGCAUCAGAGAUUCAAUUUGAAUCACUAUACCCCUCUAGUAUCCUUGGGUGACCAGUAUAGUGAAUCCCGUAGUCCACAGUGCCUUUUAGAUAGUGCAUCACUCUCUCUAUAGCAUGCCAAUGAUCAUCUCCCGGAUUCGAAACAAACCGGCUUAGUUUGGUCAUAGCAAACGAGAUGUCAGGCCUUGUAGCACUAGCCAAGUACAUAAGCGAACCAAUAAUUUGAGAGUAUCUCAGCUAAUCUCUCAUUAUCCUUUUACUUUUCUUUAAAAUUACACUAGCAUCAUAAGGUGUUGAAACAAAUUUGCAGUCACUAUAACCAAAGCGACUUAGAAUUUUUUCCACAUAAUGGGAUUGCAAGAGUGUAACCCCACCAUCACCUUCUCUUACUAGUUUUAUAUUAAGGAUAACAUUAGCCUCUCCCAAAUCUUUCAUCUCAAAGUUUUGAGAUAAAAAAUCCUUGACUUCCUUAAUCACAUUAAGACUUGUCCCAAAAAUCAGUAUGUCAUCGACAUACAAGCACAUUAUCACUCAUUCACCCCCACCAAAAUGAUAGUACACACACUUGUCAACUUCAUUCUCAACAAAGCCAGCAGACGUAAGAGUUUUAUCAAACUUCUCAUGCCAUUUCUUAGGAGCUUUCUUGAGGCCAUACAAAGAUUUUAACAACUUACACACCAUUUCUUCUUGACAUUUUGCUACAAACCCUUCUAGCUGAUCCAUAUAGAUCUCCUCCUCCAACUCUCCAUUUAGGAAAGUUGUCUUAACAUUCAUUUGAUAAACAAGAAGACCAUAAGAGGUUGCUAAGGAAAGUAACACUCAAAUUGUGGUCAAUCGAGCAACGGGUGAAUAAGUAUUAAAGAAGUCUUCUCCUUCUAUUUGAGUAUAGCCCUUAGCCACAAGCCUCGCCUUAUACUUUUCAAUAAUACCAUCAGGCCUAAGCUUCUUCUUGAACAUUCACGUGCAUCCUACGGGUUUGCAUCCAUAAGGACGUUCAACGACUUCCCAAGUUCCAUUAGACAUAAUAGAAUCCAUUUCACUCCUUACUUCUUCCUUCCAAUAGUUAGCAUUGGAAGAUGAGGAUGCCUCUUCAAUGGUUUUAGGGGUGUCAUCCACGAGGUAUACAAUGAAAUCAUCAUCAAAAGACUUUUCAGUCCUUUGUAUCUUGCUCUUUCUGGGAGCUUCAUUAUUAUCCUCCUCAAGAUUUUCCACAAGUGUAGGCUCACUGUGUUCUAUCACAUCAUUAGAUGAACUUGUCUUAUCUCUCAUAAGAAAAAUAUUCUCAAAAAAUAUAGCAUCUCUGGACUCCAUUAUUAUACCAACAUGCAAGUCAGGUACUUCAGAUUUUACUACAAAAAUCUAUAACCAACACUGUGAAUAGCAUAACCUAGAAAGACACAAUCCACAGUUUUAGGUCCAAGCUUACGUUUCUUAGUUAUCGGCACACUAACCUUUGCCAAACAACCCCAAGUACGUAAGUAAGAAAGUGUUAGCCCUUCUUCUCCCAUUCCUCGAAUGGUAUUUGUUUAUUCUUUGUAGGAACACGAUUUAGGACAUGACAAGCAGUCAAUAUAGCCUCACCCCACCAUUUCUUGGAAAGUCCAGCUGUAUCUAACAUAGCGUUAACUAAAUUAGUUAGAGUGCGGUUCUUUCUUUCGGCAACCCCAUUUGACUGAGGUGAAUAGGGAGGUGUUCUCUCAUGAAUAAUACCAUGUUCCCUGCAGAAUAAAGUAAAAAAAUUUGAGAAAUACUCGCCACCACGAUCCGACCUAAUUCAUUUGAUCUUUCUCUCAAGUUGAUUUUCUACUUCAGCUUUAUAGAUUUUAAAGUAAUGCAAUGCUUCAUCUUUUGACUUCAACAAAUAGAUGUAACAAAAUCUAGUGCAGUUGUCUAUCAAAGUCAUGAAAUAUUUUUACUACCUUUUGUCAACACGCCAUUCAUUUCACACAGAUCGGAAUGAAUUAAUUCUAAAGGUGACAAGUUCCUUACCUCCGCAGCCUUGUGAGGCUUGUGAGUUUAUUUUGAUUCAACACAAAUAUGACAUUUAGAAUUUUUGACAGAGGUAAAUUUUGGAAUUAAACUCAAAUUAGCUAAGCGCGUCAUACAACCAAAAUUAAUGUGACAAAGUCUCGAAUGCCAAACAUUUGAUUCAUCAAUAUUAACAAUGUUGUUCAUAACUUUGUUACAAUCAUCAGACAAAGAAAAGCAGAAUAAGCCUCCUCUAUCAUAACCUUUUGCAAUGAAAAUACCAAAUUUGGACAGAAUGCAUUUGGACUCAAAGACUAAUUUAAAACCAUCCCUACAUAGUAGAGAUCCGCUAACUAGAUUCUUCUUGAUAGUGG
rnacentral:lncRNA from 1 species